rnacentral:rRNA from 1 species
UACAGAGGGGGCAAGCGUUGUUCGGAAUUACUGGGCGUAAAGGGCUCGUAGGCGGCCAACUAAGUCGGAUGUGAAAUCCCCAGGCUCAACUUGGGAGCUGCAUCCGAUACUGGAUGGCUUGAAUUCGGGAGAGGGAUGCAGAAUUCCAGGUGUAGCGGUGAAAUGCGUAGAUAUCUGGAGGAACACCGGUGGCGAAGGCGGCAUCCUGGACCAACACUGACACUGAUGAGCGAAAGCCAGGGGAGCAAACGGG